ensembl:lncRNA
ACCCGCAGAGAAGUCAGAAGAGGUCGAAAAAGCUGGUAACGGAACAAGGAACAUCGAUAAAAAAAAAGACCAGAGUCCUCUGACAAUGAGGAAACGGUGUCUUGCUGUCUGGCUAAGAAGUCGAUGCACCGUUCUGUGGAUUUAUUUCUAUAUCUAAAGAGCUCCACAACUUUAAAAAAAGGAAAUACACACGGCUACUUUGGAGUUAAAGGAGGAUUUAAGUAGUUAGCUCGUUAACGUUAUUUAUAUUAAUUACAUUUUUCAUGCGUGACAUUAAUCGUUGCGCGGCCUUGGCUUUGGAACAACGGCGUCAUCACCUGCAAAACAAAAGCUUAACAAACUCCUACCUAUAUUUUAUGUUCAAGCAUCAAUGGGAAACUUCGCAGCAGCAGCAAAAAGGGCAUUCUACAAGGAAAAGGUUGACAAUGCUACAGACGUUUGUAAACCGUUGUUUGAACAGCUGAACUUUGUAACUAUUGGAUGCCACUGUGCUGGGAAAAGUGAAGUAUGUAAUGCCAUACUUGGGAAAAAGACAUUUAGAUUUUGGUACUUAUGGAAAAAAACGCAUGUGAAGGAUACACAUGAAGCAAGUGGGAGGAGAAUAACAGUUACCCGUGCACCUGGCUGGAAUGAGAACAACCUCAGCCAACGUAAAGUACAAACAGAGAUAUUGUCCUGUGUAAAUAAGUCCUUCAAAGCUGGACUUCAUGCGGUUGUCUUUGUUGUGAAUGCUAAUAGACCCUUCUCAGAUCAAACAACCAGAACCCUAGAAGGGUUUCUCCCAGAGAAGGUGUGGGAUCAUACCAUCGUGGUGCUUCAUAAUGCAGAAGCUGAUGGUGAUGAGCUUGACGCCAUCUUACAGACAGACAGAUCUCUCCAGAACCUCAUUCAGAAAUGUGGAAACCGAUGUUGUGUACUCAACAGGAAAUCCAUAUGUGGUGUCAUUGACAGCCUUGAGGAAAUGAUAGCGGAGAAAAAAAGUAUUUACUUUGGAAAAAAUGUUGAGAUGGAAGAGAAGGCAAAAAAAAGCGUCAUAAAAAAGCUCAGGUGCAACAUUGAAUGUCUUAAAAAGCAAAGAAAUGAAAAUCUUGAACAACUUGAGGAGGUUCCAUGGAAAAACAAAAAAAAUGAGCUUCAGAAGAUUAUAGCACUGAUAGAUGUUGAAAUACGAAACCUUCAAGAGAUCUGCCAUAAACAGGAGGAAGAACUGGAAUCAUUACGGCAAGAAAAAUGCUCCGAUGUCUCGUUACAAGGAUGUCAACAGCUUCCAAAUAAAGAUCAGCAGAUUGCACAGCAGGAGGAAGAGAUAGCUCAACCAAGAGCGAUCCCCUCUCAUGUGGGACCAGUACCAAUCAGGUGCAAGAACAAGCGAUGGCCACGGCAAAAAUGGCGACGGCAACAAUGGCGGUGGAAAAGGAAAUGCGGAAAAUCGAAAAGGACAAAGACAUUAGGCAAAGAGAAACUGCAUCCAGGUGAAACACCCUGUCUGGAAAGCGAAUGGUCAAAGAAAUUACUGGAGAUUUUGAAUAACCUAACUAAACGCGAAUUCAAGGAAUUUAUGUUUCAUCUACGCCAACAAAUCACAAUACCUGAAGCUGAAUCACUUGACAGAGUGGAUCUUGCUGAUAUAAUGCUAAAGGUAUGGGGUACAUCCCAGUGUAUCAGCAAAACUGAGGAUCUGCUGAAAGAUAUCCAGCGUAAUGAUUUGGUGGAAAAACUAAAUACAUUUAGGAAAGGUGAGUCAUUUUAUGCACUUAAAUCUUUUUAAAAUCCUGAUCCCUUCUGCCAAUAUUUAUAUAACUCCCCUGACCUCACAGUUUGCCUUCAUUUACAUAGAAGUUACUUUCAUUUAGCUGACUUAAAAUUGUGUAUCAGUGUAGAUGUGAAAAUAACUGCCCUUCUCUUCCCUUUUCCCUCUCUCAUCCCGAACCUUCCUUUCAUGCUGUUCUCUACUUCGCUCUCUUUUAUUCCCACUUUUCUGCCUCAUUACCCUUCUUUCUCCCACUUUAUCCGCUUUGCUCCAGUCUACUUCCAGACAUUUCCACUCCAUGUUGUCUCAUCUAAUCUCUUAGAUCAGGAGAACAUCCCAGACUCUCCUUUCAUACUGUUCAGGAUUCUGAUCUCGCUGAAGACUUGUGUGUUCAACCUUUGGACAAGAUCCGGGAACCAUGCGCCCUAUUAGCAAAAUGAUAACAUCAUGUUGACAGUGUCAUGAUGCCCUUAACCUGUCCAAGGAAACAGAAAAUCGUCCAAGCAGCAACAACACAAAUCUGUUUUUGAGGUCUUUUUUUCUUUGCUUGAAUAUCUGCAAAGAUGGAUAGGUCAGUUAGAUAAUCUCAGGUUCAGUUCUUAGGCUAUACUCUGGGACUCUAACCAAAAGACUGUAAAUACUGCAGACUUUAACAUUUAAGGAUAACAUUUUAAGUCAACAGUGUACAGGAACAGAGUGCCUUUUGAUAUUUUUGUCAUUGGACUGAAACCCAUAUUCUGGGAGGGAGAGCCCUGCUGCUCACAUCCUACUGCAAAAAAACAUCUCUCAGACUUCUAGAAGUAUUCUCCUAAAGCCUCUCUGAAAUGAGUGGGGGAACCCACAGAGAAGUCAGAAGAGGUCGAGUCCUCCAACAAUGAGGGAAAUGGUGCUUUGCUAGCUGGCAAAGAAGUCACUUGACCAAGAGAUGAACCGCUUUGUGGAAUAAAUUGUAUCUCUGAAGAUCUCCACAACUUUAAAAAAGGAUAUACACACAGCAAGAUGGAGUUUAAAAAGAGGCCUGAAGGAAGAGCUUAUCACGCUAAAACAGGAGCUUAAACGGCAACACUUCAGGUUCAAGGCUUUCACCGCAGCAAAGGAGCGUAGCCCCUUUGAGAACUGGAAGUGAGUAGCGCUGUGACUAAGGAGUCUAUAGAUACUUGUUAGUAGUAGCAGUAGUAGUUACUAGUUAGAUCGUAUAGAUAACUGGUAUAUAUAUUUACAGUUGCAGGAAAAAAUGUCUGACCUGGAAAGUUGAUCCAGGAGAUGUAGCCUAGCAUUUGGAUGUAUGGUGUACUCGAGAACACCAAGGGUGACUCAAUGAUAAAGUUUGUAUGAAACGUUCUGACCACUGAGCUCCUACGACCCGAUAGUAUCUCCCUCCAAAAUGAACGCACCCACAGGACUUUUGACACAGAAGCCAGACCCUGACUCUACACCAAGAUCCAUUAGGGCGGAGCACAGGGUGGUUUCCCUCCACACUCCAGCAGGGAUUUUAGAGGGACGGGGAUCCUUUUACUGACAAGCCAUUCCAGCAGGUGGAUCACAGACUGACAGGAGGCAGCACGUGAGGCUGGGAAAACAUGUCUCUGACUCCCGUACCAUCAGCACCGGUUCCCCUCAAGGCUGCGUUCUUUCCCCUAUACUCUUCUCCCUGUACACUAACAGCUGCACCUCCAGUCACCAGUUCGUCAAGCUACUUAAGUUUGCGGACGACACCACCCUCAUUGGGCUCAUCUCUGGUGGGGAUGCCUCCGCCUACAGGUGGGAGAUUGAUCAUCUGGUGAGCGGGUGUGGACAGAACAACCUGGAGCUCUGAAAACAGUGGAGAUGUUUGUAGAUUUUAGAAAGAACGCAGCCCCACCCACCCCCAUCACCCUGAGGGACUCCCCAGUCGACAGUGUGGAGUACAUCCUCUUCCUGGGCACCAUCAUCUCCUUCACUA